rnacentral:tRNA from 1 species
GUCCUCGUAGCUCAGCUGGAUAGAGCGUCAGCUUGCGGAGCUGAAGGUCGUAGGUUCGAAUCCUACCGGGGACACAA